CUGGUAGUCCACGCCGUAAACGAUGUCGAUUUGGAGGUUGUGCCCUUGAGGCGUGGCUUCCGGAGCUAACGCGUUAAAUCGACCGCCUGGGGAGUACGGCCGCAAGGUUAAAACUCAAAUGAAUUGACGGGGGCCCGCACAAGCGGUGGAGCAUGUGGUUUAAUUCGAUGCAACGCGAAGAACCUUACCUGGUCUUGACAUCCACAGAACUUUCCAGAGAUGGAUUGGUGCCUUCGGGAACUGUGAGACAGGUGCUGCAUGGCUGUCGUCAGCUCGUGUUGUGAAAUGUUGGGUUAAGUCCCGCAACGAGCGCAACCCUUAUCCUUUGUUGCCAGCGGUUAGGCCGGGAACUCAAAGGAGACUGCCAGUGAUAAACUGGAGGAAGGUGGGGAUGACGUCAAGUCAUCAUGGCCCUUACGACCAGGGCUACACACGUGCUACAAUGGCGCAUACAAAGAGAAGCGACCUCGCGAGAGCAAGCGGACCUCAUAAAGUGCGUCGUAGUCCGGAUUGGAGUCUGCAACUCGACUCCAUGAAGUCGGAAUCGCUAGUAAUCGUAGAUCAGAAUGCUACGGUGAAUACGUUCCCGGGCCUUGUACACACCGCCCGUCACACCAUGGGAGUGGGUUGCAAAAAAAGUGGGUAGCUUAACCUUCGGGAGGGCGCUUACCACUUUGUGAUUCA
rnacentral:rRNA from 1 species